AUUGAACGCUGGCGGCGUGCUUAACACAUGCAAGUCGAACGCGAAAGGGACUUCGGUCCUGAGUAAAGUGGCGCACGGGUGAGUAACGCGUGGAUAAUCUGCCCUUAUGAUAGGAAUAACAGUUGGAAACGGCUGCUAAUACCGGAUACGCUCAAAAUGAACUUUUUGAGGAAAGAUGGCCUCUGCUGGCAUGCUAUCGCAUAAGGAUGAGCACGCGUCCCAUUAGCUUGUUGGCGGGGUAACGGCCCACCAAGGCAACGAUGGGUAGCCGAUUUGAGAGGAUGAUCGGCCACACUGGAACUGAAACACGGUCCAGACUCCUACGGGAGGCAGCAGUGGGGAAUAUUGCGCAAUGGGCGAAAGCCUGACGCAGCGACGCCGCGUGAGGGAUGAAGGUUUUCGGAUCGUAAACCUCUGUCAGAAGGGAAGAAACUACGUUGUGCUAAUCAGCAGCGUACUGACGGUACCUUCAAAGGAAGCACCGGCUAACUCCGUGCCAGCAGCCGCCGUAA
rnacentral:rRNA from 1 species